GGUCAAAACCCUAGCCGCCAGCAGUUCUCGUCAAGCCCGCGCCCCCUCUGCCUCGUCUGCUCCCUGCUCCCUCCUCUCCCACGACGCCGCCCUCGAGCCCACGCCGCCUCCACCUCGUCUCAUCCCCGCUCCCUCCUCUACAACGCCGCCGCCCUCGAUGCGCCAUAAGGGACGCUAUUGACACGUCGGGGAUACGCAGCGACGAAGCUCAGCCGGAGCACAUCAGUAACCCACUCCUAACCCUAUUCGCUCGAUUGAUAAGAGAAGGGCAACGGAUUGGAUCGAGGGCGCCCUGGCCUCGCCGCCGCUGCACCUGGAUUCGGUAGCCGCUGCUUGGAGUCGCCCUGGCCACCACGUCGAGUCACCUCCGUCGCCGCCGCGAGUCAGCUCCACCGUUGCCGCCAGGAAUCCCUUCCCGACAAGGUAGCUUCCUCUAAAUCCCUGCUCUCCAUGGUCCUACUGCCCUGCUUGAUGCAUGUGUGCUGUGUGUGUGGCUUCUAACUUGAGAGGGUCUCCGCCGGCGUCGGCCUGCACCGGCGAUGCCGGGCGCGACCUGGCUACCAGGGCAGCUUGACUACAGUCUAUAGAGCAAUAAACAAUGGGAGAAUUUGGGGGCUGCUCAGUUCUGGAUAUGGGGGCUGCACGGGCUUGGAGCAGCAAGCCAUGGCAACGAAUGUGAAUAAAACACAUACUUGUACUGUAAAUAAGGUUUUUUCAUAGUGAAACUGACAAAGCUUAUGCAUGAGAUAGCGCAUCAUUGUAUUUUGUGAUUCAGUUUCGUAGCACAGGGUAAAUGCUCCUCUUGACCUAUUCUAUUUUCGAAUAAGGUUGCGCCAGAUUUUAUUCAAAUGAACAUUGUAAAGUCUGUACUGUCAUGUUCUAGAUAUGUCGAAAUUUCAGACCAAACAAGUUUCCUACUUCUCCCCUUCAUGAUCUCUUCAUUUUUUCUUAAUAUCAUUUAGCUUGCCAUUUGUAUUUUUGUGAUUGGUAGAUAAAAGCUUGCACAGUUGCACUUGGCAUUUAUAUUACUAUAUAUUCAGCUAAUCGUACAAGAACCAUCUUUGUAACAGAUCCAGGUUUUGAUCUGUCUCCCUAUACUUAAGGCCUAUGUUGUAAGGUUCAGUGGUCAAUUGGACUUUUAAUUUCCUAGCUGUAGCUCUAAAUAAGGUUUCCUUUGUUAUGUAGUAUAUCCAUAUUAUAAUUAGAGGAGAGGAGUUGUACUGCCUUGCACAUAAUGCAUUUUAAUUCCUUAUUUCUCACAUCCCGAAAGUCGCAUUACAUCUAUGAACCAUAAGAACUAGAGGUAUCAAACUCCCAAGAGGAAAUAUUCGCCUCCCUUCCGAUCUUCAGAUCUCCAUAUUUGGUGAAUGCGGUGUUUUGGUUUCGUUGGAUUACUAUCUCUAUUUGGGGUUUAGAUAUGAAUUGAUGUUUUAGUUCGAGCGUGGAUACUCGGCAGUGGUGAUUUAGAUAUUUUUGUAGAACAGAAUAGUUAACUCGGUCUAUUUCUGGAGAACUGCAGUGUAGAUGAUAUAUGUAUGAGCGAUCGUAACACUGAAAAUGCAAAAUUUACAGUAUGGUGUAAUGAUGGUCGGUGGGGUGACUUUUUUGAUGGCAUUGCCCAAUGCAGUUUUUGGAUUUCUACUGAGUGGUACUGUGUUUUGAGAUUUGUUUUUUUGUGUUGCUAUCUGCAGGAAAGUUCCUAGGGAUUUGAUUGAUGGAGGCAUCACUAUUUGGAGCUGGAUUAUCCAUUUUUGCAGCAUCAGCAAUGUUGUUUUCGUUUGGAAUGGCCAUUUCUCAAUUUCUAAAUCGGCUAUACUAUACUUCUUGUCAGGUUACAUUAUCUUGCUUGGUUUCAGUCUAUAUGUAGCACAGCAAUAGGUGACAUGGUUGGUUUGUAUGUUACACUAAGGAACACCACCAUAAGGAAAAGGGCAUUGCACUUUGUUUAUAUUUGGUCUGUUCCUAUUCAGUUUGCUGUAGUACUUGCUACACCAUUUGAAGUUUCUUACUGUUUGCUUCUUGCUGUUUCAUUGUAUUCAGUUAUGAUAUAUUUUUCAACUAUACAAGCACUUGGGUAAGUCAGGAAAACUGAACCAACGACAAACAUUUUACUGGUGAUGUUUUUUAUCUGAGAUGUGAAAGAUGCAUCUUGUCCCCUGAUAUAUUGGCUUAAUCUCUUGAUUUUUUCCCUGACAUGCUAAUAUAGAGCCAGAUAUGCAUGAUUCAUCAUACACAUUACAGCCAAUUAUCCAUUGGUUCUUUUAUCCAUAGAGGUGAUUUUGUUUGGACCAUUAGUCUAGGUAGUGACAUUUUGAUCGAUAAGGCACAAGUUUAUUUUCUUUUUCACUCAGGCUACACUAAAGUAAGCAUCACCGUCAGUGAACAGAAGGCAUACAAAUCAUGAAGUUUUUGCCUUGGCUAUGUGCCUUGUUUAGUUGUCACUUAUUUAUUUCUGGGAAGUUAUUAAAUUCUCAUCGAGCUUUCCUUAUGCUUUCCAUUGCUAAAUAAGAAAUUUAAAUACGCAAUAUUUUUAAUAUCUGAGGAGGCAAGAGGAGAUGAAAAAGGGUUGUAACCUGUAAGGUUGUACUUUGGUGCGUCUCUGGGCAAUGAUGGCUGGAUCCAUCUGACGCUCUUCCAAGCAGAGUAGUGCAGAUUUGCUGACUGGUACAACAUCUAAACCUUGGCUACUCUAGCUUCUUUUCACAUCUCUUAGUAUCAACAAAUAAGUUCGUUAUAGUAUAUACUUGAAGAUUGCAGCAGGCACAAAAUGCUUGGCUAACCAGCCGGUUACUUGAGUUGUGCCUACGAAGGAUCAGUAGAGUAGUUGGUUUUUUCUAAAAUAAAUGAGGAUUAGUUUGGUUGCCAUGUAACGGUAAGGCCAGAAUGGUGGUACUGAGAAGUGGUUCUGUAAUGGUCAUAUGAGUUGUGGAGUUGGAACUUGAUUCUUUUUAAGUUGGAGUGGCUAGGUUGUCUAUAUGUAUUGCAUUAUUUUUCUACGACAUGCUGUUCUUUCUAAUGAUUUAUUUUAAAGUUUAGUAUUUAAAUUUACGGCAUUAUUCUGCGGCAUACUGUUCUUUCUACAACAUACUGUUAAUAUCUUAUGCUUUUCAACAUUACACGGUUAAAACCUUCUGUAUAAGAUCUUGCGCUUUCAACAUCUGCUCAUGGUGCUGUGCGUAUUCUGCUAUGAACUGUUUACAUUAUAGAGAGUUGUGGUACCUACAUUUGUACAAUUCCGUUUAGCUGAUGUUGGUUGCUCAUACUGACAAAAGGUGCGUUAACAAAUGAUCGCAGAGCAGCGGAGAAACGUGUUUCUACAAAUGUGCCAAAACUGAUGGAUUUAACUACAGGUAUUGCACUAUUAUUCUACAGGUAUUAUUGUAUUUCAUUAUCCAACUGUAAGUCUGUUCUAAACUCUAAGCCUGAUGUAAAUCUGAUGGAAGAUUGGGCCAUUUAAUUGGAACCAAAAGGGUGAUAUGCUCUCAGUUGCUUGAAUCUGUCCAGACCUGAAAAUUAGAUAUACUUUGAAAGCUUGAUGUAUGAGUAGGAGAUAGUUGAUAAAGGUGUACUCUUGUAGGAUAUUAUUAGUUGAUUACCUGCUUCUAUGUGGUGAACAAAUGAGUAAGCAGUUUUAGUUGAUAAAGGUGUAGGCAACAGACCAUUUUUGCUCCAUUUUUUGGUUUGUAAGUCAAGGAUGUUUAGCCUUUCCUGAAUAUGUUAAUUGUGAAACAGUUUUGAUGCAAUUUUUGAA